GGUUUGCAGGGUCAAAGGUUAGGAGCUUACAACUUGAGACGUAGAUGUGUGUGCCCCCAGGCUCUGCCCCUGCGGUCCCACCACUUCCAGAAGGUGGGCAAGAAGCCUGAGCUCACGCUUGUCUGGGAGCCUGAGGACGCAGGACAGGAGCAAGUGCAGCAGGUUGUCACCAUCUUCAGCCUGGUGGAGGUGGUACUGCAGGCCGAGACCACCGCCCUCAAGUACAGCGCCAUCCUCAAGCGGCCGGGCACCGAGGGCCUCCUGGGCCUGCAGGACAAGGAGGAGCGAGACACCGGUGGCCCACAGGCCUGAGGCCUCCCGCGCAGCCGCACCCCGCCCACACCCCUGCCCCACCCACCGGCUUUUAGGAAUGGGACCUUUCGACACCAAAGGGGAUUUUUAAUUUGGUUUUUAACAACUCAGGGUUUUGUUUUUAUUUCCUCAUUCUAUUUUAUUUUUGCAGCUCAGUUUUUAAACAAACUGGAGAGGAGAGGGCGGGGCUGGACGGAAGGCUGAGGCCUGGCUGGUGCUUCACUGGAGCGGAAUGGGACCCGGUCCUCCUGGGAAGGCCAGCCCCCCUUCUGCCAGGCCACCCACUGCCUUCCCCUGCCCAGGAAACCGGGGACUUUCAGCAAAUCAGUGUCAUGGAAUAAAAUCAAGUGUGAAUUAC